GACGUAGGGUGCGAGCGUUGUCCGGAUUUAUUGGGCGUAAAGAGCUCGUAGGCGGCCUGUCGCGUCAGCUGUGAAAACCCGCGGCUUAACCGUGGGCUUGCAGCUGAUACGGGCAGGCUAGAGUUCGGUAGGGGAGACUGGAAUUCCUGGUGUAGCGGUGAAAUGCGCAGAUAUCAGGAGGAACACCAAUUGCGAAGGCAGCUCGCUGGGACGUAACUGACGCUGAGACGCGAAAGCGUGGGUAGCAAACAGG
rnacentral:rRNA from 1 species